rnacentral:lncRNA from 1 species
AUGGGUUUCCAUCGUCCUAGUAAGCAGCUUCUUCAGCAGUCCUUUUCAAAUACGAAGCGAAGAGCUUCGCCUAAUUUAUCAGAUGUCCCUAAAGGUUAUUUAGCAGUAUAUGUUGGAGACGGCGAAUGGCAGCAGGUCGUCAUUCCUAAAUCAUACCUCAACCAACCUUUAUUCCAAGAGUUACUAAGUGAGGCUGAAGACGAAUUCAGAUUUGAUCAUCCAAUGGGUGGUCUAACAAUUCCAUGCAGACAAGAUGACUUCAUGGAUCUCCUUUCUCGCUUGAAUUCAUUGUGA